rnacentral:rRNA from 1 species
CGCCUGUUUAACAAAAACAUGGCCUUUAGAAUUUAAUUUAAGGUCUGACCUGCCCAGUGAUGAAUUUAACGGCCGCGGUAUAUUGACCGUGCAAAGGUAGCAUAAUCAUUAGUCUUUUAAUAGAGGGCUGGAAUGAAUGGUUUAACGAGGAAUUGACUGUCUCAUUUUAUUUGUUUUAAAACUUAAUUUUUUAGUUAAAAAGCUAAAAUAUUAUUGGAAGACGAGAAGACCCUAUAGAUCUUUAUAUAAUUUUUUGUAUUUAUUUAUAUAUUAACAUAAUUGUAGUAAGGUUAUAUUUUGUUGGGGUGACAAAAAUAUAUAAUUAACUUUUUCAUUUAUUUACCAUUGAUAUAUGAAUUUUAGAUCCAUUUUUAGUGAUUGAUAGAUUAAGUUACCUUAGGGAUAACAGCG